rnacentral:lncRNA from 1 species
CUGAACUACAGCCUGCACGCUUCUGCAGUUACUGAUUUAAAAAGCCGACCGUGGGGCCGAGCCUGGAGCUGUCACCGUCUUAGCACAGCAGGUCCUGCAGGCAAAGCAGGUCCCCCUCCCCAGGACUCGGGCCUCCGUAGUCAGUCUUGUGGCCUUUCAGGGUCAGGGAGACUGCUUCCAGGAGUGGACGGUGAUGUGAACUUCCAUCCUGCCCACUCACUUUAGGAAGCAAUGACACAGAGUUCAAAAUGGAUGGGUUUUUAAAAGACUGCAGAAAAAUAAAUUCUGAAAAGGCAAAGUCUGAAUUGUUAAAACACCUUCAUUAGUAUGUUUCUUCAGUCAAGGAAGCUUUUUCCAAGCCCUGU